UACGUAGGGUGCAAGCGUUGUCCGGAAUUAUUGGGCGUAAAGAGCUUGUAGGCGGUUUGUCGCGUCUGCUGUGAAAUUUCGGGGCUCAACCCCGAACUUGCAGUGGGUACGGGCAGACUAGAGUGUGGUAGGGGAGACUGGAAUUCCCGGUGUAGCGGUGAAAUGCGCAGAUAUCGGGAGGAACACCAAUGGCGAAGGCAGCUCGCUGGGACGUUACUGACGCUGAGACGCGAAAGCAUGGGGAGCGAACAGG
rnacentral:rRNA from 1 species